rnacentral:rRNA from 1 species
GUAGGGGAGCAAACGUUGUCCGGAUUUAUUGGGCGUAAAGGGCUCGUAGGCGGUUCAACAAGUCGGUCGUGAAAGCCCGGGGGGGCUCAAACCCCGGGGAUGCCGGUCGAAACUGUUGUGACUUGAGUUCGGUAGAGGUGAGUGGAAUUCUCGGUGUAGCGGUGGAAUGCGCAGAUAUCGAGAGGAACACCAUUAGCGAAGGCGGCUCACUGGGCCGAUACUGACGCUGAGGAGCGAAAGCGUGGGGAGCAAACAGGAUUAGAUACCCUGGUAGUCCACGCCGUAAACGAUGAACACUAGGUGUAGCGGAUUUAUUCACGUCUGCUGCGCCGUAGCUAACGCAUUAAGUGUUCCGCCUGGGGAGUACGGCCGCAAGGCUA